GGGUAACCUGCCCAAGAGAUCGGGAUAACACCUAGGAAACAGAUGCUAAUACCGGAUAACAACAGAUGAUGCCUAUCAACUGUUUAAAAGAUGGUUCUGCUAUCACUCUUGGAUGGACCUGCGGUGCAUUAGCUAGUUGGUAGGGUAACGGCCUACCAAGGCGAUGAUGCAUAGCCGAGUUGAGAGACUGAUCGGCCACAUUGGGACUGAGACACGGCCCAAACUCCUACGGGAGGCAGCAGGC
rnacentral:rRNA from 1 species